rnacentral:sRNA from 1 species
GGGUACAGCGGCAGCAAUCCGCCAGGCCUCAGGCGUGCAGGGAAAGUUGGUCGGUCGGCAGGGCCGGAUUCGCAUGCGCUCCAACCGAAGAUAAUUAUUACCUUUUGUUCUUCACAAUGUUCUUGGUCAUCUCUUGUAAAUUUCAUCCUUAGUCGAUAAAUUGUUUCUCCGGUGCUACAUCAUAUAGCCUUUUUUCCCUGUAUUUUUGUGAUUUUUGGUGUGUGGAGAUUAUUUGAGCCAUUCUUGUAAUAAUAUUAGACUGGAUGGGUGGUUAGUUGAUGAUUAUAUUGCAAUGGC